GAAAUGCGAUACUUGGUGUGAAUUGCAGAAUCCCGUGAACCAUCGAGUCUUUGAACGCAAGUUGCGCCCCAAGCCUUUAGGCCGAGGGCACGUCUGCCUGGGUGUCACAAAUCGUCGUCCCCAUCCUUUGCGGAGAAGGGACGGAAGUUGGUCUCCCGUGUGUUACCGCACGCGGUUGACCUAAAUCUGAGCUGAGGACGUCUUGGAGCGUCUCGACAUGCGGUGGUGAAUUAAAGCCUCGUCAUUUCGUCGGUUGCUCCAGUCCGAAUGCUCUCGAUGACCCUAUGUCCUUCACGCGACCCCAGGUCAGGCGGGAUCACCCGCUGAGUUUAA
rnacentral:misc_RNA from 1 species